GAUAAUGAUUGGCCUGAAAUGUUUCUUAUUUGGGAUCAUUGAGAUUUUUCUUUACUGGCACUCUGACUUCAGGAAUCUUUUAUUCUGCUUUUAUAUUGGUUACCCGUUCUGGGCUGCAGCAUCUUUCAUCAUAUCUGGAUCUUUGACCAUCUCAUGUACAAGAAAACAAACAAAAUUUCUGAUCGAAGUCAGUAUUGGAGCUAACAUUAUCAGCACACUACUUUCAAGCACUGGGAUAAUUCUUCUCUCCGUGAAUUUAGUUGACAUAGUCUUACUUGAAUGCUGGGAGUUACCGGCAUGUUCGUUGGUUAAAUCUUUUAUAACUGUAAGUACUAAUUUGUUGGAUGGUGUCUUCACACGUGAUGUUUGUUUUCAGCUACCUCAGCCCUCAGCGACUAAAAGCCUAUGAUGAAGUUUCUAAACGUUGAAAAGUGAUAGGAAAACAAAUAAAUAUAAACAUGACAGUUGUUUUAAAAAAAAGUGAAACAACCUGAUUUCAGAAUUGCAGAAUUAUGUGUGUGCAUUUCUGUGUGUCAUUUUAAGAACACGUAUUCUUAUUAUUCCAGAUUUUCUCUGAUGAACAUGGGCUGUUCUAAAAAAAAAUGAUAAAAAGACUGCUCACAGAUCAGUGUGCCCAGAGAGGAGGGACCUGAUCUGGAACAUUGAGGACUGGCCUAUGGAUUUCUGGUAGUGAAAAUGAUACAAAAUUUGGGAGCUGGUCUGAGUCAUUUUAAUGUUAAUUUAAAAGAUCAAUGGAGGGGCGCCUGGGUGGCUCAGUCAGUUGAGCAUCUGACUCUUGAUUUCAGCUCAGGUCAUGAUCCCAGGCUCAUGGGAUUGAGCCCUGCAUCGGGCUCUGCACUGAGUGUGGAGCCUGCUUGGGAUUCUCUCUCUCUCUUCCUCUGCCUCUCUCCCCAUGCUCUCUCUCUAUCUCUCUAAAAUAAAAAAAUUAAAAAAUAAAUAAAAAAAUAAA